rnacentral:miRNA from 1 species
GAUAUAUAAUAUGUUAGGCAUUUUAUCUCUAUCUCUCUCUCUCUCUCUCUAAUCAUUCUUGAAUAUAUAUAUAUUCCCAAGAAUGAUUAGAGAGAGAGAGAGAGAGAUAAAAUGCCUAACAUAUUAUAUAUCU